UUGGUGGGACUGCGUACAUCAUCCUAUAAAUUUGUCUUAUAAUUUCUCCAACCCCUAAUUCAUAGUCAAAAGUAGAGCCCACUAUAAAUAUAUGCAUAUCCGUAGAUAGACAUUUGUAUCGUUCUCUCAUUUUUACCAUUUUUAGAAAGAAAGUGUUUUUUUUUUCUUCCUAACAGAAAGAGCUUUCGUGAAAGAUAAUGGAGUUUUCUUCAACCCCUGAUGAAAUCACAGCAUCCAUGGCUCUACUCGGUCUUUCCUCGUCUUCAUCUUCAUCAACCUCUCCUCCAAGUAACUCUAGUUUCGAAGAAAGGAACGAAGAGACAAACCAGAGCAAGAAUUCACUCAAGCUCAAGAUGAAUGAAAUUCUGUGUUUGACUCUAUGAAGAAGUGGAAAAAACGGAUUCGGGAAAGGAAUGAGAAACAGAGAGUUGAAAUUGAACAAGGGCUAAAGAAUAAUAAAGAAACUGAAGCGACGAAAAUGGAGUCUUCUUCUUCUGCUGCUGCUGAAACUUCAAAGACCGAAUCGGACGAAGCGCCGAAGAUUGUCGGAGAAGAAGGUGCGAAAGCUCGAAACGAUCCACGGCUGACAAUGGAAGAUAGAUUGUUGGCGGAGCGUCUUUGUAAGUUGAAAUCCAUGGCUGGUGAAGAGAAUUCUGAGGAUGAAGUGGAGAGAGCGUUGGAGAUGUAUGAGUGUAACGGUGGGGUUCGAAGUGGAGAGCAAUUUCCCCAAAGGCAGAAAAGUAGUAGUGUUUGGAGAAAGAGAAGGGACGAUGAGACUAACUAGGAAUUCGGAAGAUUUUUGGAAUAUUCGCUUAGAAUAGAAGAAUUUUUUUUAAUAAAAAAAUUACAAAUAAUAAGAAUUUGUGUAAAUGUGAUUUUAUAUAGUAAAAAUGCCCAUUAUUUUUUAUUAAACGGUGAAAUAAAAAAUAAAAUAAAAUAAGUAGUCUCUUCGUCA